CACGUAGGGUGCAAGCGUUGUCCGGAAUUAUUGGGCGUAAAGGGCUCGUAGGCGGUCCGUCACGUCGGGAGUGAAAACUCGGGGCUCAACCCCGAGCCUGCUUUCGAUACGGGCGGACUAGAGGUAGGUAGGGGAGAGCGGAAUUCCUGGUGUAGCGGUGGAAUGCGCAGAUAUCAGGAGGAACACCGGUGGCGAAGGCGGUUCUCUGGGCAUGUCCUGACGCUGAGGAGCGAAAGUGUGGGGAGCGAACAGG
rnacentral:rRNA from 1 species